AACUAGAAAGCGAAGUAUUGCAUUUAGUUUCGACCUAAAUCUUGAUCUUUAUUGAUCUCUAGUUU
rnacentral:tRNA from 1 species